rnacentral:rRNA from 2 species
UCAACUUGAGAGUUUGAUCCUGGCUCAGAACGAACGCUGGCGGCAGGCCUUAUACAUGCAAGUCGAGCGCAUCCUUCGGGAUGAGCGGCGGACGGGUGAGUAACGCGUGGGAAUGUGCCCUUCUCUACGGAAUAGCCACUGGAAACGGUGAGUAAUACCGUAUACGCCCUCAGGGGGAAAGAUUUAUCGGAGAAGGAUCAGCCCGCGUUAGAUUAGGUAGUUGGUGGGGUAACGGCCUACCAAGCCUACGAUCUAUAGCUGGUUUUAGAGGAUGAUCAGCCACACUGGGACUGAGACACGGCCCAGACUCCUACGGGAGGCAGC